UACAGAGGUCUCAAGCGUUGUUCGGAUUCAUUAGGCGUAAAGGGUGUGUAGGUGGCGCGCUAAGUCGGGUGUGAAAUUUCGGAGCUUAACUCCGAAACUGCAUUCGAUACUGGCGUGCUUGAGGACUGGAGAGGAGGCUGGAAUUUACGGUGUAGCAGUGAAAUGCGUUGAUAUCGUUUGGAACACCAAUAGCGUAGGCAGGCUUCUGGGUGCCACCUGACACUGCUAGGACGAAAGCGUGGGGAGCGAAUGGG
rnacentral:rRNA from 1 species